GGCAGCGGGGAGCCUGUCACGAGGGCAGACUUGCCAAGGACUGAGAGCUCGGGCUCGGCUCAGGGGCCCCGUGCUCCCCCACAUCAGGACUGCGGCCGUCCCAGCCCCGGGCCCACGCACC